rnacentral:lncRNA from 1 species
AAAGUACACCAAAUAUAUACUAUAUACUGUACAUAAAAUAUCAAAGUACACCAAAUACAUAUUAUGUACUGUACAUAAAAUAUCAAAAAGUACACCAAAUACAUAUUACAUACUGUACAUAAAAUAUCAAAAAGUACACCAAAUACUUAUUAUUUACUGUACUUAAAUUAUCAAAAAUUACACCAACUACUUAUUAUAUACUGUACAUAAAAUAUCAAAAAGUACACCAAAUAUAUAUUAUAUACUGUACAUAUAAUAUCAAAGUACACCAAAUACAUAUUAUAUACUGUGCAUAAAAUAUCAAAGUACACCAAAUACAUUUUAUAUACUGUACAUAAAAUAUCAAAGUACAGAAAACACAUAUAAUAUACUGUACAUAAAAUAUCAAAGUACACAAAAUAUUUAUUAUAUACUGUACAUAAAAUAUCAAAGUACCCAAAAUACAUAUUAUAUACUGUACAUAAAAUAUCAAAGUACACGAAAUAUAUAUUAUAUACUCUACCUAAAAUACCAA